UGAGAGGAUUUAAGAGUACUGUUAAUAAUGCCACUUCUGUGGAAAAGCCAUAACCAUGAAGGAAAACAGAAACAGGAAAUAAUGAGGAAAACUCUGUGUAAAGCAGGAGAAUUCUCCAGGUGCUCUGGAAAAUGUCAUUGUUCAGGACAACACAGAAGUCAAAAUGAAUUCCCCACGACUCGUGCAAAUGUUCGAAGUUAAAUGUGAACUCGUCUGUAACACAAAGUAGGCACUCUGCCUCGUGUGCUGGGAAGAGUGAGUUCUCAAAAGCUCUAUCCAAAGUGGGCACCUGUCUGCAGUUUUAAUGGGAAGGAAGUAGUAUGGAAAUUGGAUGCACCCAUGAAGAGCACCUGUACUGAGCCCCUGAGCAGGAGACCUGGCAGGGAUGAGGGGCUGCUGUCUUCCCAGAGAAAAGA